GGUGAACGCUGGCGGCGUGCCUAAUACAUGCAAGUCGAGCGAACAGACGAGGAGCUUGCUCCUCUGACGUUAGCGGCGGACGGGUGAGUAACACGUGGAUAACCUACCUAUAAGACUGGGAUAACUUCGGGAAACCGGAGCUAAUACCGGAUAAUAUGUUGAAUCGCAUGGUUCAACAGUGAAAGACGGUCUUGCUGUCACUUAUAGAUGGAUCCGCGCCGCAUUAGCUAGUUGGUAAGGUAACGGCUUACCAAGGCAACGAUGCGUAGCCGACCUGAGAGGGUGAUCGGCCACACUGGAACUGAGACACGGUCCAGACUCCUACGGGAGGCAGCAGUAGGGAAUCUUCCGCAAAGGGCGAAAGCCUGACGGAGCAACGCCGCGUGAGUGAAGAAGGUCUUCGGAUCGUAAAACUCUGUUAUUAGGGAAGAACAAAUGUGUAAGUAACUAUGCACGUCUUGACGGUACCUAAUCAGAAAGCCACGGCUAACUACGUG
rnacentral:rRNA from 1 species